rnacentral:rRNA from 1 species
UACAGAGACUGCGAGCGUUAUUCGGAUUCACUGGGCGUAAAGGGUGCGCAGGCGGCCGUGUGUGUGAGGCGUGAAAGCCCGGGGCUUAACCCCGGAAUUGCACCUCAAACUACACGGCUAGAGCAUUGGAGAGGGUAGCGGAAUUCACGGUGUAGCAGUGAAAUGCGUAGAUAUCGUGAGGAACACCAGAGGCGAAGGCGGCUACCUGGACAAUUGCUGACGCUCAGGCACGAAAGCGCGGGGAGCAAACAGG